UUACAGAUGAGAAAAUUGAAGGCC
rnacentral:piRNA from 1 species